rnacentral:rRNA from 1 species
GAUGAACGCUAGCGGCAGGCUUAAUACAUGCAAGUCGAGGGGCAUCAAGGUACACGAAAGUGUAUUGUUGGCGACCGGCGGACGGGUGAGUAAUAGGUAGGUAACCUACCUCAUACUGAGGCAUAGCUGGGAGAAAUUCCAGGUAAUUCCUCAUGAGGUUAUAUGACACAUGUGAUAUAAUCAAAGGUAUCGCAAGGUACUGGUAUGAGAUGGGCUUACUGACCAUUAGCUAGUUGGUGAGAUAAGAGCUCACCAAGGCGAAGAUGGUUAGGGGUUUUGAGAGAGAGAUCCCCCACAUUGGAACUGAGAUACGGUCCAGACUCCUACGGGAGGCAGCAGUAGGGAAUAUUGGGCAAUGGGCGGAAGCCUGACCCAGCCAUGCCGCGUGAAGGAAGACGGCCUUAUGGGUUGUAAACUUCUUUACUAUGCGACUAACUAGAUUUACGAGAUAAUUCUAUAGAAUGUAGCAUAGCAAAAGCAACC